rnacentral:rRNA from 1 species
UACAGGGGGUGCAAACGUUGCUCGGAAUCACUGGGCGUAAAGCGCACGUAGGCGGCUUUCUAAGUCAGGGGUGAAAUCCUGGAGCUCAACUCCAGAACUGCCUUUGAUACUGGGAAUCUCGAGUCCGGGAGAGGUGAGUGGAACUGCGAGUGUAGAGGUGAAAUUCGUAGAUAUUCGCAAGAACACCAGUGGCGAAGGCGGCUCACUGGCCCGGUACUGACGCUGAGGUGCGAAAGCGUGGGGAGCGAACAGG